GGAAAUCUUGAAGAGUCUUACACUUUUAAUCCUCCAGUCAUUGAUUUGCGCUGUGAGGACAUUGUGGUGAGGUGGUAGGAGUAAAAACCAAUUGCUUUCCUGGCCCUUUACAACCUAGUUAAGAAUUUCACUGACAGAAUGUUGGCACCAGCUGUGGGAGGGCUGAUCAGCCUCAACUCCAAAUAUCUGUCCUGAGACACAACAGGAUGUGCUUUGGAGAAGAAUCUCAGGAUAGAGAGUUUUUGAUUGAGUCCCAAACCUGCAAGCUCUUGGUGUUGGAAUUCACGAAGGUGAGG